rnacentral:rRNA from 1 species
AGCAGCCGCGGUAAUUCCAGCUCCAAUAGCGUAUAUUAAAGUUGUUGCAGUUAAAAAGCUCGUAGUUGAAUUUCGGGAUUGACGUGAUGGUCGUGCCUUACGGGGUAUGAACUGUUGCUGUUGAUUUCUCACCUUCUGGAGAAACUUGAUGUCCUUAAUUGGGUGUCUUGCGGAUCCAGGACCUUUACCUUGAAAAAAUUGAGUGUUUAAAGCAGGCAUUUUGCUCGAAUACAUUAGCAUGGAAUAAUAGAAUAGGACGGCAUGGUUCUAUUUUGUUGGUUUCUAGGAUCACCGUAAUGAUUAAUAGGGAUAGUUGGGGGCAUUAGUAUUCAAUUGUCAGAGGUGAAAUUCUUGGAUUUAUUGAAGACUAACUACUGCGAAAGCAUUUGCCAAGGAUGUUUUCAUUAAUCAAGACGAAAGUUAGGGAUCGAAGACGAUCAGAUACCGUCGUAGUCUUAACCAUAAACUAUGCCGACUAGGGAUCGGAUGAUUGUUAAUUUUUAAUGACUUCU